UGGGGAAUUUUGCACAAUGGGGGAAACCCUGAUGCAGCAACGCCGCGUGGAGGAUGAAGUCCCUUGGGAUGUAAACUCCUUUCGACCGGGACGAUAAUGACGGUACCGGUGGAAGAAGCCCCGGCUAACUCUGUGCCAGCAGCCGCGGUAAUACAGAGGGGGCAAGCGUUGUUCGGAAUUAUUGGGCGUAAAGGGUGCGUAGGCGGUGCGGUAAGUCUUCUGUGAAAUCUCCGGGCUCAACUCGGAGCCUGCAGGAGAAACUGCCGUGCUUGAGUAUGGGAGAGGUGAGUGGAAUUCCUGGUGUAGCGGUGAAAUGCGUAGAUAUCAGGAGGAACACCUGUGGCGAAAGCGGCUCACUGGACCAUAACUGACGCUGAGGCACGAAAGCUAGGGGAGCAAACA
rnacentral:rRNA from 1 species